rnacentral:tRNA from 1 species
GCCCUCAAAGUGUUACGGCUAGCACGACAGAUUGUCGAUCUGUAGGCACGGGUUCAACUCCCGUUGAGGGCG